UUUUCUAAUUAUUUUAUUUAUUUUCCUGAUGUCUCAAAUCCAAGGUAUCAUUUGAAAACUACAAUUUGACCUGCAAAAUGAAAAAGCUCAAAGAAAUCAUGAAACAAGACAAGAAACCGAAACAUAUCAAAAGAUUAAGAUCAAUGACGCAAAAGAUUCGCUAUCGAUGAAAGGAGCGAAACCAUGAAGCAAGAUAGGUUGUAGAUGAACUAGGAAAGGUUGAAGAUGGACUAAUUUUGUACUGGAAAAGGUGACGGUAUAGACCUGUAAGCUUGAAUUUCCUUAACAAGUAACCGAGCCGGUUUGGAGACAGUAGUGUGAAGCCUUGCAUUUCUUUCUCUCCACAAAGUGUAAACAGCUGCUUGAAAAAUAAUUUUUUUGUUAAAUUAAUAUUAAUUUUUUGAAUAUAAUGUUAAAUUAAAUAUAUAAAAAUAACGUUUUUACAACUAGUGCAUCGUGUUUUUGAAAAUCGAAUCUAAAAAGGCAGAAUAUAUGAAUUGAAACACAACUCUAUUU
rnacentral:sRNA from 1 species